rnacentral:antisense_RNA from 1 species
CUUCACCGACCCCAACCGCAGCGGCUGGUCUGCGGGCCGGUCCUGGCCGUAAGCGGCGAUCAGCGCCUGCGCCUC